UUUGAAUGCCCUAAAUUUAAACUCUUUUCUAUCUCAAUUCUCAAACACUCUUCGACCUCUUCUCUCUCAACACCCAACGACUACUACUUUACCUCUCUUCACUCUCUUAUCUCUCGAACAAGGUCAAGCGACUUGCAUAUCCUCGUCGCGCUCAAAAUUGCUAAAAGAUAAAGACCCCAAAGAGUCUACUAACUCAAACACGCUCAACUGCUCAAAGAGUUAAAGACCUAAAGUUGUUGAAGCUCAUAGUUUAAGGGAUUGAUAUGUUUUCGUCGUUGGUUGUGGAAUGAGGUGAAAGUUCUUAUUCAACAGUUAACGAAUUGAAGAGUUGUCUCACAAUACUAGACGAGGAGGAAGACAAAGAAGUUGUCACUAAUCUAUAAUUGCUAUGAAUUGUUUGAGUUGUUUUAUUAUGAACAAUUUCAUUGGUACUUGAGAAUUCGCUUUUAAACUUGAAUAUUUGCUGGAGUAAUUUUAUUGGAAUUGAUAUAUUGAUUAUAUAAAUAGAGAGAGAGAUCAAAUAAAAAAAAUA